GCAAAAACAGAAAAAUCUGAGAGAAGGGCAAGAGGGGAGACGGAUGGAAGAGAAAAGGGGGCUACGGCAAGCUGGAAAUUUGGGGGUUACGAGAAAAGAAACAAGGGGGGGCUCGGCUGAGAAAAAACCAGGGAGGAUUACGGCUGGAAAAUCUGAUGAGGAAGGAACCGAACAAAGGAAAACUGAGAAGGAACCCGCGGCUGAAGAUCUGAAAUUAGGAGGAGGAGCUUCUCGGCAAAGGCUGAACCAAAAACAGAAAAAAAGAGAGGACAAGAGUGGCAGCGGCUAGAGAAAAAUCUGGGAGGAGGGGGAGACAACGAAAAACAGAGCAAGGAAGGGAACAAGGAAAAACAGAGAGGAGCUCUCGGUUGCGGCUGAAAGAAAAAAAACAGAGAGAAAGGCAGGGGCUCGUCAAUAAAGGGGGGUCGGCUAAAAAACAAGAAAAGGGAGGAAAUGGGGAGCUGGGGCCGAACAGAGGAAAAUCUGAGAAGGGAAAUAGCGAAGGGAAGAAACAGAAAAAAAGAGCAAGGCAGCCAAGGACUGGAGGGGCCUUCGCGUCGCCAUUGAGUUCACCGUUCAGAACCGCCAGGCCAAAGUGGCGGUGGUUCCCUCCGUUGCCGCUCUGGUCAUCAAGGCCCUGAAGGAGCCCAAGACGACAGCGACGACGAAGAACCUAAUAGAAAAUCCAAAGCAGAGGCGCAAAGCUGCAAUAACAAUCGAGCAAGGAAGAUACGUCCGUAGAGUUGCCGGAACCACCAGUCCGCAUCCGCCGCUGUUUGCUCCCUCCGUCGACCACCACCAGCGCUGCCAUCAUCCAGAUUCGAUUCAACCUCAGAAAUUGAAAGCACUAUAUAUUGCUCAUUUUAGAGGUUUGGAAGAUUAGCAGUACGGCUUACGUGUCGACUCAAAAACUAUGGUUAUAGUGCUAUCUUAAGUUUAGAAAAUGUUUCGGUAGCACGGAAAAUGUUUUGGGACUUGGAAUUGUUUUUUAGUGUAGCCUUGACUUAUAUGGCAAAUUUUGCUCUAUUGAAACUUAUCAAACUAUUUGUAGUGUGAUGUUGCACUUAUUUAUGACAUUUGAAUAUUUAAUAUGUUAUUAUGGCAUUUCCUAUUGUAA